UACGGAGGGAGCUAGCGUUGUUCGGAAUUACUGGGCGUAAAGCGCACGUAGGCGGCUUUGUAAGUUAGAGGUGAAAGCCUGGGGCUCAACUCCAGAACUGCCUUUAAAACUGCAUCGCUUGAAUCCAGGAGAGGUGAGUGGAAUUCCGAGUGUAGAGGUGAAAUUCGUAGAUAUUCGGAAGAACGCCAGUGGCGAAGGCGGCUCACUGGACUGGUAUUGACGCUGAGGUGCGAAAGCGUGGGGAGCAAACAGG
rnacentral:rRNA from 1 species